rnacentral:rRNA from 1 species
CCCCCCUCUAAUCAGUGAAACUGAUCUCCCCGUGAAGAAGCGGGGAUAUACAUAUAAGACGAGAAGACCCCAUGGAGCUUUAAACCUGACAGCACCCGCUCAUUCUAUACCCCAUUAUUUGCCCGACCCCUGUCUGCUCAGUUUUAGGUUGGGGUGACCACGGAGUAUAAAAUAACCUCCAUGAAGAAGGGGAUAUUUCCCUUAUUAGAGAACCACACUUCCAAGAACUAAUAAAUUAAUUUUCAAUGACCCGAUACCUGAUAAUCGAUCAACGAACCAAGUUACCCUGGGGAUAACAGCGCAAUCCACCCUGAAAGCCCUUAUUAACAGGUGGGUUUACGACCUCGAUGUUGGAUCAGGGUAUCCCAGUGGUGCAGCAGCUACUGAGGGUUCGUUUGUUCAACGAUUAAAACCCU